UGGGGAAUAUUGCGCAAUGGGCGAAAGCCUGACGCAGCAACGCCGCGUGCGGGAUGAAGGCCUUCGGGUUGUAAACCGCUUUCAGCAGGGAAGAAGCGAAAGUGACGGUACCUGCAGAAGAAGCACCGGCUAACUACGUGCCAGCAGCCGCGGUAAUACGUAGGGUGCAAGCGUUGUCCGGAUUUAUUGGGCGUAAAGAGCUCGUAGGCGGUUAGUCGCGUCGGAUGUGAAAACCCAGUGCUUAACACUGGGCCUGCAUUCGAUACGGGCUGACUAGAGUGUUGUAGGGGAGACUGGAACUCCUGGUGUAGCGGUGAAAUGCGCAGAUAUCAGGAAGAACACCGGUGGCGAAGGCGGGUCUCUGGGCAACUACUGACGCUGAGGAGCGAAAGCGUGGGGAGCAAACAGG
rnacentral:rRNA from 3 species